rnacentral:rRNA from 1 species
UACGGAGGGGGCUAGCGUUGUUCGGAAUUACUGGGCGUAAAGCGCGCGUAGGCGGACCUGCAAGUCGGGGGUGAAAGCCCGAGGCUCAACCUCGGAACUGCCUUCGAUACUGCGGGUCUCGAGUCCGGGAGAGGUGAGUGGAAUUCCUAGUGUAGAGGUGAAAUUCGUAGAUAUCAGGAGGAACACCGGUGGCGAAGGCGGAUCUCUGGGCCUGUCCUGACGCUGAGGCGCGAAAGCUAGGGGAGCGAACAGG